rnacentral:lncRNA from 1 species
CAAAAAAGGAAAAAAAUUGAAAACACGGGAAUUGGUUCCAAAAUGACGAAAAGAACGUAUUUUCAACAAUUUCAAAACAGACACUCAAAAUACAAAAUCUAAAAUGAAUUUAAAACUCAAAACUAUAAAAUUGAAAUAUGAAGAGAACAACCCCCCUGGUUUCUUCCAAGAAAAUUUAUCUUACCUGGUGCUAUUGACAUUAUAUGCUAAUUAGAGCCUUUAAAAAACAGAGUUGAUUGGAAAUAAAGAGCACUCACGUUCCAUUGAAAUUGAAAACGAUGGUUUUAACUUCCCCCAAAAUAUUAACUUGGUAAAGGGAUGGAUUUCAAGCAGAAUCAAUAUCAUAAUGAAGCAGAGUGCAACCAUGAAUCUAAGAUAAGGAAGUUUGUGUUUGUUACAUGUUCAAUUUCGCUAUUUUAUCCCCUAUGCUCUGUUCUCCGUGCUUUAAUGCAUAUUGAAGAUAACUACCUUCAGUUCAAUUGAUUUUUCACCCCUAACCGGACUCAUUCGCCAAUUGAUUUCCGACCUCCACCAAUUCUCUGUCUUGUUAAUGCCUUCGAACGGCUGUCAGUUUUCAUUUUGCUACUAUAAUACACAAAAUACCUGUCAAUUCUUUAUAUAUAUAUAUAUAUAUAUAUAUAUAUAU